CCUACGGGAGGCUGCAGUGGGGAAUCUUCCGCAAUGGGCGAAAGCCUGACGGAGCAACGCCGCGUGAUCGAAUGAAGGCCUUCGGGUUGUAAAGAUCUGUUGACAGGGACGAAUAAGCAAUGCGAAUAGUUUUGUGUAUGACGGUACCUGUUUAGAAAGCUCCGGCUAACUACGUGCCAGCAGCCGCGGUAAUACGUAGGGAGCAAGCGUUGUCCGGAAUUACUGGGCGUAAAGGGCGCGUAGGUGGGCGCUUAAGUCAGGUGUGAAAACUCCGGGCUCAACCUGGAGACUGCACUUGAAACUGGCAAACUGGAGUGUGUGAGAGGAUAGUGGAAUUCCAGGUGUAGGAGUGAAAUCCGUAGAUAUCUGGAGGAACAUCAGUGGCGAAGGCGACUAUCUGGCACAUAACUGACGCUGAGGAGCGAAAGCGUGGGUAGCAAACAGGAUUAGAUACCCGUGUAGUC
rnacentral:rRNA from 1 species